GAAGUUAUUUCUCACAAAGCAUGGCGAGCGCACGCGCGGCGUCGCUAGCGCACCCACAAGAGUCGCUCGCGAACUUUUCCCCUUCUCGUAUCGUCCCCUGGCACUGCUCGACAUUGGAAUGAAUGAUCAUCCCGUCGUCGCCGUUCCGCCAAGCUCGUGUGACCGCGGUGGCGAGAUGUUAUCCCUCUUCGCCUGGUCCAGGAAGGAGUCGUCCUCGCUCUCCCGUCCGUCGCUGUCGCCCUUCAGGAUCUCCUCCACCAUGAACGAUAUAUAGCGGCGCCUCGGUGCCCCAGGGGCACCUGGGAACCGCGGGGGCACGUUGGCACCCAUGUUGCCCGAAGGAGGGAAGAGACCAUGGGUGCCCGAGGGGUAGAAGAGCUCGGGGAUCUCGUCGGGAUGGAGGUGCCCUGGCGGCGCGAGGAGGCUUCGCUUCUCCAAGGUGGCGAGCGCUCCACCCAGGUGGCCUCUCAUCGCUCGCCCCGGGGGCGUCAGCCUCAGGUCCAUGGGGGAGUGCUGCGGGUCACGUGACAUGUUGGGGCUGCGAGUGGAAAGGGUUUGUGGGGGGAAAUUUAGCAACCACGAAACGGCUCAUCCCCUACAGGACCCUUACCCAUCCCAUACAGAACUCUCCCAUAACAUACAGAACCCUCCUCUCAUCCCAUAUAUAAACAUCAUCUCCUCCCAUACAGAACCCUCCUCUCACCC